GACGAACGCUGGCGGCGUGCUUAACACAUGCAAGUCGAACGGAAAGGCCCUGCUUUUGUGGGGUGCUCGAGUGGCGAACGGGUGAGUAACACGUGAGUAACCUGCCCUUGACUUUGGGAUAACUUCAGGAAACUGGGGCUAAUACCGGAUAGGAGCUCCUGCUGCAUGGUGGGGGUUGGAAAGUUUCGGCGGUUGGGGAUGGACUCGCGGCUUAUCAGCUUGUUGGUGGGGUAGUGGCUUACCAAGGCUUUGACGGGUAGCCGGCCUGAGAGGGUGACCGGCCACAUUGGGACUGAGAUACGGCCCAGACGCCUACGGGAGGCAGCAAUGAGGAAUAUUGCACAAUGGGAGGAAGCCUGAUGCAGCAACGCCGCGUGCGGGAUGACGGCCUUCGGGUUGUAAACCGCUUUCGCCUGUGACGAAGCGUGAGUGACGGUAAUGGGUAAAGAAGCACCGGCUAACUACGUG
rnacentral:rRNA from 1 species